UACGAAGGGGCUAGCGUUGCUCGGAAUCACUGGGCGUAAAGGGUGCGUAGGCGGGUCUUUAAGUCAGGGGUGAAAUCCUGGAGCUCAACUCCAGAACUGCCUUCGAUACUGAAGAGCUCGAGUCCGGGAGAGGUGAGUGGAACUGCGAGUGUAGAGGUGAAAUUCGUAGAUAUUCGCAAGAACACCAGUGGCGAAGGCGGCUCACUGGCCCGGUACUGACGCUGAGGUGCGAAAGCGUGGGGAGCAAACAGG
rnacentral:rRNA from 1 species